AAUUAAUAUCUAUAUUACGAGUCAUUGUAAAAUAAUUUCAAAAAUUUGUUGCAGAUUUUCUUCGCCAUUUCAUUUUAAUAAUUUCUCUAGAUCUUCCGGAAUUUGCAUAUCUUACAAAGAAGUUAGAAACUACAUAACCGAAGAAGAAUACUUUCUAAAAGUACUUUGUAACUUGAUAAUGCAAACGCAUAAAUUUGUGUACUAUGUAAACGGAAAUUUCACAGUAACAACUCGAGCUAAAAUUAAAUAAUGUAUGAAAUCCAAUCAGGUUUUCACGAGGAUUUUGAAAAAUGAAUCAAAACAAUUCCACUCUAAUAAAAAAAAAAAAAAAAGAACAAGAAGAGAAAAGAAACUUAUCGUUGAUCUGAAAGUACAAUCGAAAAUACAAUAAUCCAUAGGAACAGUACACAUAACGAAUAGUUGUAUCAAGCUAUUACGCAAUAAAGGACAAUGUUGGCAUAGGAUUUGGCCGCAGGCGAGACUUUUAAUCAUAUUCAAUCGUAUAAUAAUUAAUAUUCAUUCUUGCGCGUUAAUAUUCAAUCUUGCACAAUCAGGAAUCGACGAGCGAUUUUCAGACAGCCGGUGUCCCGUUAAGAAAUUGCAUUUGUAUGCUAUCGAACGAUCCGAUCUCCUCUUGGAGAGCUUGCUUGUGGCACGAUAAAUAAUGUUAUAUGUGUAUACCCCCCCCUUUUUUUUCUUCUCUUUCCCUCCAUUUC